GACGAACGCUGGCGGCGUGCCUAAUACAUGCAAGUAGAACGCUGAAGAGAGGAGCUUGCUCUUCUUGGAUGAGUUGCGAACGGGUGAGUAACGCGUAGGUAACCUGCCUUGUAGCGGGGGAUAACUAUUGGAAACGAUAGCUAAUACCGCAUAACAAUGGAUGACUCAUGGCAUUUAUUUGAAAGGGGCAAAUGCUCCACUACAAGAUGGACCUGCGUUGUAUUAGCUAGUAGGUGAGGUAACGGCUCACCUAGGCGACGAUACAUAGCCGACCUGAGAGGGUGAUCGGCCACACUGGGACUGAGACACGGCCCAGACUCCUACGGGGAGGCAGCAGUAGGGAAUCUUCGGCAAUGGGGGCAACCCUGACCGAGCAACGCCGCGUGAGUGAAGAAGGUUUUCGGAUCGUAAAGCUCUGUUGUAAGUCAAGAACGAGUGUGAGAGUGGAAAGUUCACACUGUGACGGUAGCUUACCAGAAAGGGACGGCUAACUACGUGCCAGCCGCAGCAGUAA
rnacentral:rRNA from 1 species